rnacentral:tRNA from 2 species
GGCGAGAUAGCUCAGUUGGCUAGAGCACACGGUUCAUACCCGUGGUGUCGGGAGUUCGAGUCUCCCUCUCGCUA